CAUAACUGAACCUUUUAUGACACGUUUCCAUGGUGACUGAGCUCUCCCAUCUAAACACACCGUCCUUCCCAGGAGGAGCUGAUGAACAAAAGCUGCAAGUAGAUUAUUGCAGGAAAACAAAAGUUCCUUCCUUUUCUUUCCUUGCUUUUCCUCAAACUUCAAUUUACUCUGAGGGAGGAAUGGGAGUAAGCUGAAGUGGAAACAUCUCUUGAACUUCAAUCAUAUUCUACUCCGAUUUUUAAGUACUUUUUAAAAUUUGAGCUUCUGUCUCUAAAUUAUAAUUCCAGUCAUUAUAAUUUCAUGAUGGGUUUCUAAGAGUAACAGUGGCUGCUUAGGAAGACAAGUCUGACUGGUGGCUGAGGAGGGACUUCUGAGGAAAGAUGUCAGGAGAGAAUGCAUAGCAUGAAAAAUGUGUUCAAGGGCACUGAAUCCCAAGAGGCCCUAUUCCAGCUUCUGUAAUUUCCAGCUUUUACAUGGAUCCUGAGGAUAAACAGAUCGAUAAGCAUCCUUGCUCCUGAAUGGGUGAGAUUUGGGGUUAGUCCUGCAUUGCCAUAAGACGCAGAGCUCCGACCUCCCUUAGUCCCUCCUCCCAGUCCAAUUACUCUCAUCCUUCCCUCCCCAGGAUUGUGGCUCAGUCGGGUUGCCUGUGAUAUUUCCAGGUUGUCUAACUUUUCACUAUUAAAAGAACUCCGUCCUUUGAAAACCCUCA
rnacentral:lncRNA from 1 species